GAAAAAAAUGAUGAAAAGACUCUCCUCAUAUCCGUUGCCCCUCCAAAAUUGAAAUCUGAAAACUUAAGACGCCAUCUUCUCACUUCAGCUACGUUUAUAGCUGACACAUCAAAAUUGAAAGCUGAAAUCACUGGCAAACUCGAACACACCAUCUUUUCUUCUUCAAGCAGCUCUUCAUCUUGAACACACCAUCUUCUGCCUCCCGCCUCAUCUGCUCAUUGCUACGUUAUAAAGAUGAAGAAAAUCUAACCCCCUUCCGUCAUUCACUUUCUCUUCUCUUAUCCUUGAAAUCUGAAAAACUUAAGACGCCAUCUUCUCUUUAUUUUUUCUCAAAAAUCUUGCCACUCUCCACUUUCCACUUGACUUCGGCUACGUUUAUAGCUGAAAUCACUGGCAAACUCGAACACACCAUCUUUUUUUCUUCAAGCAGCUCUUCAUCUUGAACACACCAUCUUCUGCCUCCCGCCUCAUCUGCUCAUUGCUACGUUAUAAAUCUGAUAGAAAAUCUAACCCCCUUCCGUCAUUCACUUUCUCUUCUCUUAUCCUUGAAAUCUGAAAACUUAAGACGCCAUCUUCUCUUUAUUUUUUCUCAAAAAUCUUGCCACUUUCCACUUUCCACUUGACUUCGGCUACGUUUAUACCUGAAAUCACUAGCAAACUCGAACACACCAUCUUUUUUUCUUCAAGCAGCUCCUCAUUUGAACACACCAUCUUCUGCCUCCCGCCUCAUCUGCUCAUUGCUACGUUAUAAAUCUGAUAAUUUGAAACACCAAAAAGAACACCCCCGCUGGCCCAUGGAUCAUUACAAUCUUCAAUUUCUACACUCCAUGAUGCCAAUCACAUUUCUCAACAACCUUCGCUUUUCUCCUUGGUUCCCCUGAAAACCUCAAUCUAAAGGGAUAUGUUUGAACUGGGAAAGAUGGAGAACGGUGAUGUGGUUGUGGAGACAAGGUUACGCGUGCCUCGUCUGCGACAUUGACGCUUGAGAGCGAGCUUGAUAACAUCAAGGAAGCUCAGUGGGAGUGAAGCUUAAUCCUCCAUCUUCUCAUGGGAUCAUAAGAUUUCAGGGGAUUAGAUUUGAUGGGACAAUGGUGGAUAUGGGGGCGAAGUGGGGAAGAUGGAGAAUGGUGAGAUGGUUGUGGAGACAAGCAUUACGCGUACCUUGCCUGCAGCAUUGACGCUUUGGUGCGGGCUUGAGAGCAUCAAGGGAGCUUUGGAGGAGUUGAAGCUCAAUCCUCCAUCUUCUUCUCAUUGGAUUAUAAGAUUUCAGGUGCACCUCAUUAUUAU